CUUGGGAGAUGUGUUUCCUCUCAUUGAGAGACUUCUGAGAAUCACUUGGCUAAGCCUGAGUUCAGCACUGACUAAGCCCCAGGCACCUUCCGGAGCAUACUUUAAACAGCACGUCACCCUUUCUUCCUUUCUGCCAGACCUAAGGCAGGCAGCCCUCGGCAGAGAGCUCUUGCCCACUCUUCCUCUACUGAGAAGUGGGUGCUCUGCCCUUCUCACUGAGACCUGUGACCCUCAGCGCUGGGCUGGGAUUGGGAAGUUCAGUGUAGCCAGCUCUGAGUUCUCCCCUCACACCAAACUUCCUGCUUCUCUGGAUUUGAGUCACCGCCUGCCUCGGAGCUCACCGCAGGCUUGUUCUGGUCUUGAGGGCAGGAUGUUCUCUACAGCUUCAACCCCAUGAUAGGAGGAAACAGCUGUCCCUGCCGCAAGUCUCGGUCACAGGAAGGAAAGAGGACCCAGAACACGGAAUGUGAUUAAUGGUGAACACUUGUGAAGUUUUCAUACUGCAGCCAACCUCUGCCAUCUGUAAUCACAAGAUCUUCAGAUAGCUUCGGACUCAGUGGAUAUUUAAACAACAGACACAGGCCACGUACAUCACCGCUCGAUAAACAUCUGAUGAAAAAUGAACCAGAAGGGGGGGCCCUGUUCAAAUGGAGCUUUGCCCCCGACCUAGCUCUGGAAGAAAUCAGUUCCAUGCACUGAUUUGUUUGGCAAUGUCUCCCCUUCUACUGACUCAGCUUCAGUGAGCUGUGGACUCUACAAACUGUGAGAUUGAAGAAGCAUUGCUCUCAUUGAAGAGUUAGUGAAGAUGUGGGUUCAUAGCUGUGUUCCUUUAUUGAGCUGUAACUGUCGUGAGGAGUGAAGGAGAGGAGGGGGAAGAGGGGGAAGAGGAGGAAGAGGGGGAGGAAGGACAUUGGUAGAAGGGGUGUAAUCAAUGGAGCUGCAGGGAAGGGCAUUGGAAGCUAAGGGAACCAUUGGCCCGGGGACCUGUGGGACCGUGUGGAUUGUUGGGAGAGAGCAGAGGGCCCAGAGCAGAGGCACUGGGGCUGGACAGGAAGAUGGCGGUUGGAAUGGGGAAGGCGUGAGGGCUAAGGGACUUCACCCAGCAAGCUGGGAAGGUAAACAGCCUACACCCACAGCCAGCAGUUUCCUUCUUUCCUCUCUGUGACACUCCUUAGUGAGGUGGGCUGAGACUGAGAGGCCGGGAAAGUCUGCUACACUGCCUGGGAGAGGCCAGCGUGGGGGAGUGGAGCCUGUGCCCACCUCUGGCCAGAAAGCUGAAGAGGAACACUUCUGUAGUCCUUGUCAGUUUCUUUCAUUGGGAGUUUGACCUUGGGGCUCCAAUCAGCUGGAGGGGAGGUAAGGGAGGAGUGGCCUGUGAGAAGCAGCCAACACCGCCUGAGGGGUAGAUGUGUUUUUUUUUUCUCUUUGUCCUUUAGUGCUGUGGCAUUUCAGCUGCUCCAGGUCUUACAGAGUCACCUGUAUACCAUAGGGUGUGGGCCAGGUGAUUUAGCUCUUAAUUCCAAGGAAGAAGGAAGUUCAAAAAGUCUGUGGGAUUCUUAGAUAAGCCAAGGGUGGGGACUCCCAGCCAGGACAAAGUCUCUUCCACAGACCUUCCCAGAGUGUGUAGGCCUGAGAACAUAGAGCAAAACAAAUACUUGAUACGUGCACAUGGUCACUCCUGCAACCCUCCAACAUCAAAUUCCACCCAGCACGGAUACUGUCGUCUUGGUUCCUGGAUGCAGCAGUAGGUUCCCCAGGCUAUAGUUUGAACGCCCAACUCCUAACAGACCCCAUUUCAGACCAGGCCCAAGUCGCCUCUCAUACUUCUGUGACUAGCUGCUGCUAAGGUUCCCACCUCAAGUACCUUUUGCACUUGAUUAAUCUCAGCAGAGAGAAAUUCAGGACCAUACUUCCUCUGCCUAUCAUCAAGAGUCUAUGAAAGGACACACAUAUGCAGCCA
rnacentral:lncRNA from 1 species